rnacentral:rRNA from 1 species
UACGUAGGGGGCAAGCGUUGUCCGGAUUUAUUGGGCGUAAAGAGCGUGUAGGCGGCCAGACAGGUCCGUUGUGAAAACUCGAGGCUCAACCUCGAGACGCCGAUGGAAACCGUUUGGCUAGAGUCCGGAAGAGGAGAGUGGAAUUCCUGGUGUAGCGGUGAAAUGCGCAGAUAUCAGGAAGAACACCCGUGGCGAAGGCGGCACUCUGGGACGGUACUGACGCUGAGACGCGAAAGCGUGGGGAGCGAACAGG